GGUCUGGUGGCACAAUGGUUAAGUGCACUCUGCUGCUAACUGAAAGGUCAGUGGUUCAAACCCACCAGCCA
rnacentral:tRNA from 1 species